rnacentral:rRNA from 1 species
UCGAGAAUCUUCCACAAUGGACGAAAGUCUGAUGGAGCGACGCCGCGUGACUGAUGAAGUCUUUCGGGAUGUAAAGGUCUUUUAUGAAGGAGAAAGUUUUGAUAGUACUUCAUGAAUAAGGGGUUGCUAAACUCGUGCCAGCAGCAGCGGUAAUACGAGUACCCCAAGCGUUAUCCGGAAUUAUUGGGCGUAAAGGGUGUGUAGGCGGUCGUGUUAGUCAUUCGUCAAAGCCUCCGGCUCAACCGGAGAA